GAUGAUCCAACGGACGUUGGCAAUUUGAUCUCUUUUUAGGUAUCAUUUACGUUUUUAGCAAGAGUCAGACUGAUACUGCCACAUCUUUCUUGGAGACUUUUCCACGGUUUAACUAUAAGUAUCAGCGAGAGAAAGUAGUUUUGGAGUUGGUUCCUGGAUCUUAGCAAUGCCGUGAGAAAUGGAGUAUUUCCUGUAACAAGGAUGUUACAGUCAACAGGGAAUUCUGCCCUCCGUAUGUGAAUGUCUCCACCCUAAGGGCAAUCAGGAAGGAGACUAAUACCUGCUCUCCAGCAGACAUCAGGCUGCGGCCUCAGCCUGAGAACAUAAUUGUCACUAUUGGUCACAUUACCAAGGCUUUGACUGAAAUGCCACAUUUGAGAGAAGAAUGCAUGGACUCAGAUAUGACCAGUCAACUUUAAGGAACUAAGGAUGACUUUAUGGAGCCAAAUUUCCCCUUGGAAAAAACAUGCAGUGGUAUCCUUACAGGAUUCCCAGUAGCCUUACCAGAAUCAUAGAAAAUUGAAGACCCCCUUAUCCUGAAGCCCUGAAAACUGAAGCUGGACUGCAUGAUAUAAACUUAAGAGAGAGCACCACAAUAGCCCAUGUUUUGACAAUCUGUGCCUUUUGCUGUGUACUCAGCUCAGAAAGUUUAUCCUAACAUCAAUGACAUCACGAGAGACAUUCAAACUACAGACCAGGAAAUUAUGUCAGAUGGUCACUUUCUACCCUCACUUCAUCUCAAGAUGCUUCAAGCCUGACAUCUAGAAAUGUUCUUGAUUGAGAGUUCUCAGGACUCCGACAAUGGAUUAUAAUUUGCUCCAAUCACUAACUGUUGUUUUUCUUUGGUUUUCGUAGAAACGCAUCUUUUUAAAAUUUGCUUGCACCUUAUAGGCCUAGCUUUGGAAGCCACCUGACUCAUAGCCUCCUGAAACGAAUAUAAUUGUAUCGAUUCAUUAUCAGGACUAUGGGGCUGACUUAGUGAGGUGGAACAAUCUACCAACUCAGCUUCUGGACUGUGAGGCUUCUUGGAGAAGUUUCAAAGGCAGGACUGUAAAGGAGCAAAAUUUGGCACCACAAAAUAUAUCUUUUUGGCAUGAGGAUUAAUUUAUGCUAAUUAUUUUUAAGAAACAGAGGACUCAGUAAAUCUUUCUUUUUACCUCUCUCUUAAAUGCU
ensembl:lncRNA